rnacentral:rRNA from 1 species
GAGUUUGAUCAUGGCUCAGAACGAACGUUGGCGGCGUGGAUUAGGCAUGCAAGUCGAGCGAAUCCCCGCAAGGGGGGAAGCGGCGAAAGGGGCAGUAAGGCAUGGGUAACCUACCCUGGGGACUGGAAUAGCCCUUCGAGAGAAGGGGUAAUACCGGGCGACGAGCGAGCGGGGCAUCCCGCUUUCUCCAAAUGAGUUUCGCCCUGGGAGGGGCCCAUGUGAUAUUAGCUAGUUGGUGAGGUAACGGCUCACCAAGGCGAAGAUGUCUAGCGGGUGUGAGAGCACGACCCGCGCCACUGGCACUGAGACACUGGCCAGACACCUACGGGUGGCUGCAGUCGAGGAUCUUCGGCAAUGGGCGCAAGCCUGACCGAGCGACGCCGCGUGGGCGAUGAAGGCCUUCGGGUUGUAAAGCCCUGUCGAGAGGGAGAAAGGGAAACUUGAUCUAUCUCUGGAGGAAGCACGGGCUAAGUUCGUGCCAGCAGCCGCGGUAAGACGAACCGUGCGAACGUUGUUCGGAAUCACUGGGCUUAAAGGGCGCGUAAGCGGGUCGCCAAGUCUGGGGUGAAAUCCUCCCGCUUAACGGGAAAACUGCCUCAGAUACU